UACGGAGGGUGCAAGCGUUAUCCGGAUUCACUGGGUUUAAAGGGAGCGUAGGAGGGCAGGUAAGUCAGUGGUGAAAUCUUCGAGCUUAACUCGGAAACUGCCGUUGAUACUAUCUGUCUUGAAUACCGUGGAGAUGAGCGGAAUAUGUCAUGUAGCGGUGAAAUGCUUAGAUAUGACAUAGAACACCAAUUGCGAAGGCAGCUUACUAUGGUUUUAUUGACACUGAGGCACGAAAGCGUGGGGAUCAAACAGG
rnacentral:rRNA from 1 species